rnacentral:snoRNA from 1 species
AUUGCAAAGUAGUAUGCUACAUGAGAGGCAAGUUUUUCACUAACUCCACAGUGGUCUCUGGCCAUUGUGAGACCACCACAGUGGUUGUCUUUGGCCAUGAGUGGAGUUUGACAGUAGUCCUUGCUACAAGU